CCCCCAUUUCUAGGGAUCAUGUGAUUAGGCCAUCAUGUGAUGCCGUCGCCGGCUAAGCCUGCCUGCUGGUUCCCGCCUCGCCGCCUCCUGCAGCCCCAUCCCGAGAUGGGCCAGCUCCUGUCAGGGGACAUUGAGAGCCAAGAGCUGUCCCUUAGAGGCCCUGAACACUAAGGUUGGAGUGAGGGCACAGAAACAGCCCCUGCCUCGAACACACCUACUCCUUCCUUCCCCAUCCUGCCUGAGUCACCUUAGGGCUUGACUCCACGAGAGAACAGAAGCUUGCAGAUGCCCAUGAAUCACUGGCGAUGGAGAACCGGAAAUGGAGGCUCAGCGCUGGAGUAUUUUGUUAGUAACUCAGCUCACACCAGCCAGGUGGCCAACAGGAUGAGAUGUUCUGAAUGGUGAAUGAUCCUUGGUAAAGUUCUAACGGAGACAAAGCCACAUCUUCCUGAAGACUGCAUGGUAGUUUUAUUCCUGGGAAAUUCUAUAGAUUAUCAAUAUAAAACCAUUUAAAAAGA